UUGCCUACGGGGCGCAGCAGUAGGGAAUAUUGCUCAAUGGGGGAAACCCUGAAGCAGCAACGCCGCGUGGAGGAUGAAGGUUUUAGGAUUGUAAACUCCUUUUGUAAGAGAAGAUUAUGACGGUAUCUUACGAAUAAGCACCGGCUAACUCCGCGCCAGCAGCCGCGGUAAUACGGAGGGUGCAAGCGUUACUCGGAAUCACUGGGCGUAAAGAGCGCGUAGGCGGGUGGUCAAGUCAGAUGUGAAGUCCUGCGGCUUAACCGCAGAACUGCAUUUGAAACUGUUGAUCUUGAGUACUGGAGAGG
rnacentral:rRNA from 1 species